AGAGACAGCAGUAGCCGCGGUAAUGCGUAGGUGGCAAGCGUUGUCCGGAAUUAUUGGGCGUAAAGCGCGCGCAGGCGGAUCAGUCAGUCUGUCUUAAAAGUUCGGGGCUUAACCCCGUGAGGGGAUGGAAACUGCUGAUCUAGAGUAUCGGAGAGGAAAGUGGAAUUCCUAGUGUAGCGGUGAAAUGCGUAGAUAUUAGGAAGAACACCAGUGGCGAAGGCGACUUUCUGGACGAAAACUGACGCUGAGGCGCGAAAGCCAGGGGAGCGAACGGGAUUAGAUACCCCAGUAGUCCCUGUCUCUUAUACC
rnacentral:rRNA from 1 species